GACGAACGCUGGCGGCGUGCCUAAUACAUGCAAGUAGAACGCUGACGGAGGAGCUUGCUGCUCUGGAUGAGUGGCGAACGGGGGAGGAAGGCGUAGGUAACCUGCUUGGCAGCGGGGGAUAACUAUUGGAAAGGAUAGCUAAUACCGCAUAAUAUUGACUAUUGCAUGAUAAGCAGGUGAAAGUUGCAACUGCACCACUACCAGAUGGACCUGCGGUGUAUUAGCGUGUUGGGGGGGUAACGGCUCAACAAGGCGACGAUACAUAGCCGACCCGAGAGGGGGGUUGGCCCACCUUGGACCUGGACCCCGCCCCAACCCCCUCGGGGGGCAGCCGGAGGGGAACUUCGGCCAUGGGCGGAAGUCUGACCGAACACAGCCGCGGGAGGGGAAGAAGGUCUCGGGUCGUAAAACUCUGUUGUUAGGGAAGAAAGAGUGUGAGGGUGGAACGCUCACGCUGUGACGGUAUCUUAAGAGAAAGCGCCGGCUAACUACGUG
rnacentral:rRNA from 1 species